UACGUAGGGGCAAGCGUUGGUCCGGAUUUAUUGGGCGUAAAGCGCGUGUAGGCGGCCAGGUAGGUCCGCUGUGAAAACUCGAGGCUCAACCUCGAGACGCCGAUGGAAACCAUGUGGCUAGAGUCCGGAAGAGGAGAGUGGAAUUCCUGGUGUAGCGGUGAAAUGCGCAGAUAUCAAGGAAGAACACCCGUGGCUAAGGCGGCUCUCUAGUACGGUACUGACGCUGAGACGGCGAAAGCGUGGGGAGCGAACAGG
rnacentral:rRNA from 1 species